rnacentral:rRNA from 1 species
GACGAACGCUGGCGGCGUGCUUAACACAUGCAAGUCGAACGGAAAGGCCCUGCUUUUGUGGGGUGCUCGAGUGGCGAACGGGUGAGUAACACGUGAGUAACCUGCCCUUGACUUUGGGAUAACUUCAGGAAACUGGGGCUAAUACCGGAUAGGAGCUCCUGCUGCAUGGUGGGGGUUGGAAAGUUUCGGCGGUUGGGGAUGGACUCGCGGCUUAUCAGCUUGUUGGUGGGGUAGUGGCUUACCAAGGCUUUGACGGGUAGCCGGCCUGAGAGGGUGACCGGCAAAAUUGGGACUGGGCUACGGCCCAGACUCCUACGGGAGGCAGCAGUGGGGAAUAUUGCACAAGGGGCGGAAGCCUGAUGCAGCAACGCCGCGUGCGGGAUGACGGCAUUCGGGUUGUAAACCGCUUUCGCCUGUGACGAAGCGUGAGUGACGGUAAUGGGUAAAGAAGCACCGGCUAACUACGUG